AGCGUACGUGCCCCUAUGCCGCUUUUCACUGGGCUGCAGUCGAAACGCACUAGCAUGAAGGCUUUCGUCGUCGCUCUGCUCGUCAGCAUCGUGGCUGUGGCGCUUGGCGUCGACGAGGAGCCACCGGUAACGAUCGAGUGGCCUCCGCGUCCCCAGCCGUGCGGGGAAGGCGAGACGUGGAAACAGUGCGUAAGCGGAAGCUGCGCCGAGGCCACCUGCGCUCGGCCACAGAUUGGACCGCAGUGCACAUCCGACUGCCGUUACGGGUGCUACUGCGCCGAUGGUUUCUACAGAAACUCGCGGCAGGUCUGCGUCACCCGCGACAAAUGUCCCUGAAAAGUGGUCGCCGAGCAAGACAUCUAGGCUGCAUGAUCGCCAUGGAUUAAGCCUUCACCUGUCAAUCUCAAAUAAAUUUGGCAAUAAAAGCAGCGAGGGGACAGUUUUAGUCCACA